CAGACACAUCAAAAUCAGUGACAGGAUGAAACCAAAUUACUAGGCCUUUUUGUGGCUGGAGCACCAUGUGAUGCAUCACAAUGCAAGAUGACAAUUGAAACAUUUAAACUGUAGUUCAAACCACAGCAAAGAAAACCUCAGGACCCAAGAUCAGACAGAGAGAGAAAGAGAGAGGCAGAAAUAAUCAAGUGCUGAAUGGGCCAUAAGGCUGGCAGGACCAGGAGAGGAUGAGGCAAUUAUCACAGAUGCGUGAGGGAGAGAAGCUGGCCAAGGUUUUAUCACAACAGUCACCCAUAAAACAACUAAAAGAGCAAAUUUUCAGGGUGGAGAAACAGUGGCAGAUGGCAGAUCUGGGAGCAGGACGUGGGCUCUGCAAGGUUUAGCAUGGCAGACAAGCUUGAGGGAAUCAUGG
rnacentral:lncRNA from 1 species